UACCCAGUAUUAUGUGUCAUGUGAUCUCUUGACUGCUGCUUCCAUGAGCAUUGAUUGUAUAUACACACAUGCACACCACACACUAUAUGAGGGAGCUUCA
rnacentral:miRNA from 1 species